UACGUAGGUGGCGAGCGUUGUCCGGAUUUACUGGGCGUAAAGAGCGCGCAGGCGGUCGGAUAAGUCGAAUGUGAAAGCCCCUGGCUCAACCAGGGAGGGUCAUUCGAUACUGUUCGACUCGAAGGCAGGAGAGGGAAGUGGAAUUCCGGGUGUAGUGGUGAAAUGCGUAGAUAUCCGGAGGAACACCAGUGGCGAAGGCGACUUUCUGGCCUGUUCUUGACGCUGAGGCGCGAAAGCUAGGGGAGCAAACGGG
rnacentral:rRNA from 1 species